AUGUUGUUUUGCUAGUUCAGGCUAGAUUGAACAAAUAAGAAAGGAAAAAAGGAAAUUGAGUAUUACCAUUUGAGAAGUGAUGUCACUGUGUGCUCUUACAUGUAUGUGCUAAGUGCUAUCAUAGCAUGUUAUCAGUGCUGUUUUAGCACAGUAAAUGUGCUAUUAUAUCACAUUAGGAGUGCUAUUAUAGCACAGUACGAGUGUUAUUACUGCACAGUAUAAGAGCUGUGAUAUAUAAACAAGUGCCAUAUUCUCCCUGGAACCCCACAGUAUGUUUCUAAAUUAAUAAAAGGGUCUGUAGUCAUUGAAUUUCAAAAAAUUCUAAAACAAUUGAACUUUUAAACUUGUAAUUAAAUAUAUUUAUUUCAAUACAUUGAUGAUGUAAAUGCCUUGUAACUUUGACUCUGUAUACUGUUAUAUUUAUCAAAAAAAAAUUCUGUAAGUGAAAGUGUAAUAAAGGAGUUUGGAAUG
rnacentral:sRNA from 1 species